UCACAUAACGGCUCUUUUGGUUUCUUGUAGAUAAAGACAUGUUUUAACAAUUAAAAUUUUGUCAUCACUUAUUUUAGGUAUGAAGUUGGAUUCUCACUUUUGAAUGAUUUUAAAGGUGGUUAUGACUUUAAAAUCUUUAUCAUUAUUCAUCUACAUCCAAUUAAAUACUGAAAUCUAAUGAAAUUUUUAAUUUUCAGCCCUUAUUUUCUAACUUUAAGAAGCCAAAUGAGGAGCACUAAUUCUCUUCGCAUCUUUCUCUUCACAUGCUCUAAUUGUAGGACCCCGUCACUGGGAGUGCACAUUGUCUAUUAGCUCCCUAUUGGAGCAAGAAACUGGGAAAGCAAAAUCUUAUGGCUUAUCAGGCUUCUCCACGUGGUGGGAUACUGAAACUUCAACUGGAUGAGCAGAACCAGCGAGUUCUCAUUAGUGGUGAAGCAGUAACUGUCAUGACUGGAACUCUUUUUGCAUAGCUAUUUUUUCCAGUUUUUGAUGUUUAAACUUUACUGAGGUAAAUCUAUGAAUCUGUCUGCGUACAGAAAUGCUAUAAUAUUUAUUUUUUGUGGUGUUCCCUUUGCAGCUGUUUGUUUGGGAUAGUUUUCUUACUAUUUUUUAAAACAGUUUUUUAGUAUAAAAAUUUUUUAAAUUAGAAUUUUUUAUAUUAAAAAAUUAUUUUAAAAAAAUUAAAAAAUUUAUCCAAGCGAAGCCCAGAUAAAAAUAAUACAUUUGGUUGUGAGGCUUGGUAUGUGUACAAGUAUAGUGAGCACUGGAUAAAUUGGAAGGGAUCUCUGCUUUAUUGUGGCUAUGUUUGGUAUACUUGUUGGAAUUUCUUUU